rnacentral:lncRNA from 1 species
CCAGACUGGACCUCCUGCUGGGGAGUUUUCUGCUCACUGGUCUCUUCACACUGCUUGCAGGUUCAGAUAGGCUCAGAUCAGAGUGGCUGGCGGACUGAUGUUCUCUCAACUGGCUGGGAAAGCUCAGUCCUGAAAGCCGUAAAUGUAAUGCAUUGAUCUUCCUUCAGUUUCUCACAGACAUGUCUCCUGUAGGUCUUCUGCUGCUGCGGGAUUAUCUCUGUGUGAUGCUUCUCCUGAUCAGCAUCUUCAGCGGCGAGUGCCAAAAAAUACAUCAGGGUCAGCUCUGCAAAUCUGCCUGCUCAGCAUCAUUGAAUGUGCCAAAGGGACACAGGCACACCUACAGGUACAGCACGACCACCACCAGCUCCCUGAAAGGACCCUCAUCAGCAGGCAGUCAGCUGGCCUUCGACUGCGUGGUGGACAUUGACGUGCUACCAGGGUGUCCAGAUAGGAUUUUAAGGAUUAGAAAUCCACAAAUUAAACAAAGUUCUUUGAAAAAGGAAAAUUCUGUGCUGCGCUUGAAAAACAUCAGAGAGGCGCUGGAGAAGAACCCCCUGCGGUUCCUGCUUCAGGGGGGGAAGGUCAUUGCCCUGUGCCCACAGGAAGCCGAGCAGGUGUGGACGCUCAACAUCAAGAGAGCCGUACUGAGCAUGCUCCAGACGUCCCGCACUGGACGAGUGAGGGAAACCAUGAGAGAGACUGAUGUGUACGGUACAUGUAUGAGCACCUACGAGCAGAAGGGCUCUUUACUGGUGAAGACUAGACAUCUCCAACAGUGCCUUAAAGAACGAGUCAAUGAGUUUUGGUGGCAAUCUGUCCCCCUACAGGAAGACACAACAGUGAAUGCCAGCCUCAGGUGCACACAGCUCUAUGGCACAGCUGUGAUGGACAGGGUGAACUGCACUGAGACAAUGGUGCUGGUACCAUUGUCCGGCUCGCUGGAUGCGGCCCAGACCAGCACUGUGUCGACCUUGAAUCUACUGAGAACUCUGAAGGACAUACAGAUAGAUUCAGGGUUGCAGGAUGACGGUUACUUAGCCAAUCUGAGAUUUGAGGUGGAAACUUUAAGCCCAGGACGUGGAGGAGGAGCUCGAUCAGUUCAGGAGGUCUCCAGCACAGUGAGGAGGCUGUGUGCUCAGUCUGCAGACCACCAGCAGUCUGAGCUCUUCCUGAAUCUGGCCCUGCACUUGAGAACUUUGUCUCUGCAGCAGCUGAAGGACGUCUGGCAGGAGGUUUCCUUUAAAUGCAGAGACGACUGGUCAGUCUUUAACUGUUUCUACAAACUCACAUCCUUA